ACACGUAGGGGCCUGACGUUGUUCGGAAUCAUUGGGCGUAAAGGGCGCGCAGGCGGCCGUCCAAGUCCGGUGUUAAAUGGUCGGGCUCAACCCGAUCAUGCGCUGGAAACUGGGCGGCUUGAGUCCCGUAGGGGAUGCCGGAAUUCCAGGUGUAGGGGUGAAAUCUGUAGAUAUCUGGAAGAACACCGAUGGCGAAGGCAGGCAUCUGGCCGGAGACUGACGCUGAGGCGCGAAGGCGCGGGGAGCGAACAGGUUUAGAUACCCUGGUAGUCCGCGCAGUAAACGAUGCGCACCAGGUGUCGGGCGGCAGCGCCCGGUACCGGAGCUAACGCGAUGAGUGCGCCGCCUGGGGAGUAUGCCCGCAAGGGUGAAACUUAAAGGAAUUGGCGGGG
rnacentral:rRNA from 1 species